UUUUUUUUAAGUAUAAAUUUUUUAAUUUCUUAGAAAACUUUGCUUUUCCGCAACGAUUGCCAGCGGAAUGUGAUUUAAAUUUGAGUCGUAUACAUUAGAUAUGUGUAUUCAUAUCAGCCCUUACUUAUUUGUACGUAUUCCGACCACAUAUCGAACUCUGAGACGUGAAUUGGAAUUCUCAAAAGAUGUUUACAUAUCAAGCAAAUCGAGCAACAAAAACGAUUUUUCUGCACAGAUCUCCAAUUAUUGACUUUGACAGGAUCUUACAUCGUAUAGACCUUAUUCCAAACAAAACAGAUUGAAUCGGCUCAAUGUUCGCUUCUCGAAAGAAAAAGUUUUUCGAUUUAGGAGAAAAUAGUUAUCUGUGUGCCAAAUAUAUCAUGUAAAUCAAGUUAUUUAAAAGUAUUAAAAAAUGUUCCCAUUAGUAAUUUGGCCGAUAGCUACUACUGAAUCAAAUAUUAUUUAAAUCAAACGAUGAAUACAAAAUUUUCGAAUAGAUAGGUCCUAGGAAGUUUAGGCAAAAAGUUAUCUGUAUAUCAAAUUUCAUGUAAAUCUAAAUCGUAAAAGUAUAGUCGCUUCUUUCGUAUAGUCCCGGGUUCUAUUUCCGGAAUUAUUUAAGUAAAAUAUUUAAAAGUAUUCCCCUGUGUACCAAACUUCUUGUACUUCCAACGAUUAAAAAACAAACUUGAUUUUCACGAGGAUACCAAUUCGCGUAAAAUUUUUUUCUUAUCGGGGGCAUACAUCAUACGAAAGUUACCCUCCAAGUUUCAGGAAUCAUUUUAACGAAUUUCUGGUGUUUUAAUAAUUUUUUCGAAUAAAAUAAUUGAGUGUUGAAAAAGUCGCGUACGUACCGG